rnacentral:rRNA from 1 species
AGUUUUAUGAAUUAAAUAUAAAAUUAAACCUGCCCAGUGAAAUUUUAACGGCCGCAGUACUUUGACUGUGCUAAGGUAGCAUAAUAAAUUGACUUUUAAUUGAGGUCUUGUAUGAAAGGGACAAUGAUGGUAUUUUGUCUUUAAAUUAUUUAUAUAAAUUACUAAAUAGGUGCAAAUACCUAUAAUAUUUUAAAAGACGAGAAGACCCUAGGAGUUAUAGGCAAAAUUUGUUGGGGCGACAUAAUAGAAAAAUUAAUAUUAUUUUAACCUAUUAAAUUAAUCAAACGAAAAUUUUUAAUAAAAAUUUAACUACCCUAGGGAUAACAGCAUAAUUUUCAAUCUAAAAGUUUGUGACCUCGAUGUUGGAUUAGGAAAAUAAAAUAUUAAAAAUAUUUUAUAAAUGUUCUGUUCGAACUUAUAACUCCU